CAACGACGAACGAACCUUACCAGGUCUUGACAUCCCGAUGCUUAUUUCUAGAGUAUAGAAAGUUACUUCGGUACAUCGGUGACAGGUGGUGCAUGGUUGUCGUCAGCUCGUGUCGUGAGAUUGUUGGGUUAAGUCCCGCAACGAGCGCAACCCCUAUUGUUAGUUGCCAUCAUUAAGUUGGGCACUCUGUGGAGACUGCCGGUGUCAAACCGGAGGAAGGUGGGGAUGACGUCAAGUCCUCAUGGCCCUUAUGACCAGGGCUACACACGUGCUACAAUGGCCGGUACAAAGAGUUGCGAUACCGCGAGGUGGAGCUAAUCUCAUAAAGCCGGUCUCAGUUCGGAUUGGAGUCUGCAACUCGACUCCAUGAAGUUGGAAUCGCUAGUAAUCGCGGAUCAGCACGCCGCGGUGAAUACGUUCCCGGGCCUU
rnacentral:rRNA from 1 species